UGGGAUACGUCCAGGAGACUCUGGAGCGC
rnacentral:piRNA from 1 species